rnacentral:sRNA from 1 species
GUCUGCAUCGGUCGAUCGAGAACGAUCCGCAGGGUGCCUGCGGUAAGUUCCU